CUCCUGAGUGCUAGCAGGCACCGCUGAGCUUGUUUCCCUUUGGAGCAUUUCUCAUCUAAAAACUGAGAUAAGCUUCUUCCGAACUGGGCCAUUUGGGACCCUCCCCUGUCCUGAGUAAGGAAGCUGCCGCCAAGCAUCAGCGGAGCCCGAUGAGCCGGGACGGCGGAGCAGUUUAGCAGUCUCCCGGGACUCAGCUCCGGAGGAGCCGCAAGCAUGCACCCUGGGUUUUGGCUGUUCCUGGUGACGCUGUGCCUGACCGAGGAACUGGCAGGAGCGGGAGAGAAGAAAUCCUAUGGAAAGCCAUGUGGGGGACAAGACUGCAGUGGGGUCUGCAAAUGCUUUCCUGAGAAAGGAA